AUGGGACUAAUCUCAGCGACCGGCACCGCCCUCCUGCCAAGAGUAUAUGGGCCAUGGCCGCUGAGCGGCUCCAAGUCCAAACCCUCGCUUCCCGUUAGGGUUUCUCUCCAGCCGCCCAUGGCCACCGCCGCCGCCGCCGCCGCCGGCGACGGGACCCGCCGUAAGCGCGGCCGGGGCGGGAAGGGCCCCAACUCCGACCUCUCCCGCACCCUCACCGACUGCACCCGCCGCGGGGACGCCGCGGCCGCCAUGGCCGCCUUCGACGCCGCCGUGUCCGGCCCCGACGCGGCGCCCGACCUCCGCCUCGCCGCGCACCAGUACAACCAGCUCCUCCACCUGCUCGCCUCCGCGGACCGCGCCGCGUUCCCGGCCCACCCGGCCGCCGCCGCGCGCCGCGUGUUCGCGCACAUGGUCGGCGUCGGGGCUCCCCCCUCCGAGGCCACCAUCACCUCGCUCGCCCGCGUCGUCGCCGCCGCGGACGCCGAGGGCGCCGACGAGGCCUUCGGGCUCGUCUCCACCAUGCGGGAGAAGUACGGCCUCGCGCCGCGCCUCCGGUCUUACAGCCCCGUGCUCGCCGCGUUCCGGCGCGCCGGGGAGGCUGGCAAGGCGUACGAGGUCGAGGCACACAUGGCGGCCUCAGCUGUAUCGCCGGAAGAGCCCGAACUCGCCGCGCUCCUUGAGGUGAGCGCCAAGGCCGGGGACGCAGACAAGGUGUAUGAGUAUAUGCACAAGCUGCGGCGAGCCGUUGGCUGCGUUAAAGAGGAGACCGCAGAGGUGUUGGAAGGGUGGUUCUGGAGCGAGAAGGCGGCAGCGGCUGGUAAGGCUGAGUGGGAUGCGUGUCAGGUGAAGGACGCCAUUGUGGCGAACGGCGGUGGGUGCCAUCAGCUAGGGUGGCUUCAGGCUGGACCGUGGACGGUGCAGCAGGUGAGAGUCGGGGCAGACGGCGAGUGCGGUGGAUGCGGAUGCCGCCUAGCUUCUGUUGAUAUUGACAUGGAGGAUACACAGAAGUUUGCUGACUCUAUUUCUGGGUUGGCCCUUGAGAGGGAGACCAAAGCAAAUUUCAGCCAAUUUCAGGAGUGGCUGGAAGCACAUAAAGAAUACGAAGCUAUAGUCGAUGGUGCAAAUAUUGCACUUUAUCAACAAAAUUUUGCUGAGGGCGGUUUCAGCUUGGUUCAGCUGGAUGCUGUUGUAACAGAGCUACGAGAUAGAUAUAGUGGGAAAUGGCCACUUGUUAUACUACAUAAUAAGCGCAUCGCUAAGCUUAUGGAAACUGCAUCCAAUAGGCAUCUUAUUGAAACUUGGAGAGCAAAUGGAGCAUUGUACACAUCGCCAAGUGGGUCAAAUGAUGACUGGUAUUGGCUAUAUGCAGCAAUUGGAUUGAACUGUUUGCUCGUGACCAACGAUGAAAUGAGAGAUCACAUAUUUGAGCUCCUAGGAUCAUCGUCCUUCUUCUACAAGUGGAAGCAAAGACAUCGGGUCAAGUACACUUUUAAUAAAGGGAAGGCGGUGCUUGUUCUGCCACCCCCCUAUUCCUCAGAGAUUCAAGAAUCUGAGACAGGAUCUUGGCACGUGCCAAUAGAGGAGAAAUCUGGCGAUGAGAGAGCUAGGACUUGGCUUUGUAUUGGUAGGACAGAUCUCUCCAAACCACCCCGUGAACCUCCGGUGGCCAACGGAGUUGCCCAGGAUUUAUCUCCAUCUGAGGCAUCUAAUGGGGCUGGGCAGAGGCAACCUGAAGAACAGGCUGCACCGGUAACUGGCAAAAGAAAGGAUAGAGAUUGA
rnacentral:rRNA from 1 species